rnacentral:rRNA from 1 species
CCUACGGGUGGCAGCAGUGAGGAAUAUUGGUCAAUGGGCGGAAGCCUGAACCAGCCAAGUCGCGUGAGGGAAUAAGGCCCUACGGGUCGUAAACCUCUUUUGCCGGGGAGCAAGGGCCGGGACGCGUCCCGGCCCGGAGAGUACCCGGAGAAAAAGCAUCGGCUAACUCCGUGCCAGCAGCCGCGGUAAUACGGAGGAUGCGAGCGUUAUCCGGAUUUAUUGGGUUUAAAGGGUGCGUAGGCGGGCUUUUAAGUCAGCGGUAAAAAUUCGGGGCUCAACCCCGUCCGGCCGUUGAAACUGGGGGCCUUGAGUGGGCGAGAAGAAGGCGGAAUGCGUGGUGUAGCGGUGAAAUGCAUAGAUAUCACGAAGAACUCCGAUUGCGAAGGCAGCUUACCAGUCUGCGACUGACGCUCAGGCACGAAAGUGUGGGUAUCGAACAGGAUUAGAUACCCUGGUAGUC